rnacentral:tRNA from 1 species
GGACCCGUAGCUUAGUCUGGUUAGAGCGCCGCGCUCAUAACGCGGUGGUCGCAGGUUCAAAUCCUGCUGGGUCCA